rnacentral:rRNA from 1 species
GACGAACGCUGGCGGCAUGCCUAAUACAUGCAAGUCGAACGAGUCUCCGUUAACUGAAGUGCUUGCACGGACGCUAACAUCGAGACGAGUGGCGAACUGGUGAGUAACACGUGGGAAACCUGCCCAGAAGAAGGGGAUAACACUUGGAAACAGGUGCUAAUACCGUAUAACAACUUGGACCGCAUGGUCCGAGUUUGAAAGAUGGCUCCGGCUAUCACUUCUGGAUGGUCCCGCGGCGCAUUAGCUAGAUGGCGGUGUAAUGGACCACCAUGGCAAUGAUGCGUAGCCGACCUGAGAGGGUAAUCGGCCACAUUGGGACUGAGACACGGCCCAGACUCCUACGGGAGGCAGCAGUAGGGAAUCUUCCACAAUGGACGAAAGUCUGAUGGAGCAAUGCCGCGUGAGUGAAGAAGGGUUUCGGAUCGUAAAACUCUGUUGUUAGAGAAGAACAGGAGAAGUAGUAACUGGCUUCUUUUUGACGGUAUCUAACCAGAAAGCCACGGCUAACUACGUGCCAGCCGCCGCCGUAACAC